rnacentral:rRNA from 1 species
AUUGAACGCUGGCGGCAGGCCUAACACAUGCAAGUCGAACGGUAGCACGGAGAGCUUGCUCUCGGGUGACGAGUGGCGGACGGGUGAGUAACGUCUGGGAAACUGCCCGAUGGAGGGGGAUAACUACUGGAAACGGUAGCUAAUACCGCAUAACGUCGCAAGACCAAAGUGGGGGACCUUCGGGCCUCACACCAUCGGAUGUGCCCAGAUGGGAUUAGCUAGUAGGUGGGGUAAUGGCUCACCUAGGCGACGAUCCCUAGCUGGUCUGAGAGGAUGACCAGCCACACUGGAACUGAGACACGGUCCAGACUCCUACGGGAGGCAGCAGUGGGGAAUAUUGCACAAUGGGCGCAAGCCUGAUGCAGCCAUGCCGCGUGUAUGAAGAAGGCCUUCGGGUUGUAAAGUACUUUCAGCGGGGAGGAAGGCGGUGAAGUUAAUAGCUUCACCGAUUGACGUUACCCGCAGAAGAAGCACCGGCUAACUCCGUGCCAGCAGCCGCAGUAA